rnacentral:rRNA from 1 species
UUUAAUUGAAGAGUUUGAUCAUGGCUCAGAUUGAACGCUGGCGGCAGGCCUAACACAUGCAAGUCGAGCGGCAGCACAGAGGAACUUGUUCCUUGGGUGGCGAGCGGCGGACGGGUGAGUAAUGCCUGGGAAAUUGCCCGGUAGAGGGGGAUAACCAUUGGAAACGAUGGCUAAUACCGCAUAACCUCGCAAGAGCAAAG